GAUCCUGGCUCAGGAUGAACGCUGGCGGCGUGCUUAACACAUGCAAGUCGAACGGACCUCGGGUCAGUGGCGGACGGGUGAGUAACGCGUGGGAACCUGCCCUCAGGAGGGGGGAUAACGGCUGGAAACAACCGCUAAUACCCCAUAUGCCGAGAGGUGAAAUGAGAUUCGCCUGAGGAUGGGCCCGCGUCUGAUUAGCUAGUUGGUGGGGUAAAGGCCUACCAAGGCGACGAUCAGUAGCUGGUCUGAGAGGAUGAUCAGCCACACUGGGACUGAGACACGGCCCAGACUCCUACGGGAGGCAGCAGUGGGGAAUUUUCCGCAAUGGGCGAAAGCCUGAACCGGAGCAACGCCGCGUGAGGGAUGAAGGCCUCUGGGCUGUAAACCUCUUUUCUCAAGGAAGAAGAACUGACGGUACUUGAGGAAUAAGCCACGGCUAAUUCCGUGCCAGCAGCGGC
rnacentral:rRNA from 1 species